GGAGGGGUGGCCGAGUGGUCAAUGGCAGCAGACUGUAAAUCUGCCCGCGUAAGUUUCGAAGGUUCGAAUCCUUCUCCCUCCACCA
rnacentral:tRNA from 1 species